UUAACGUGAUUUAUACAGUAGAAAUACAGCUUAGAGAAUGGCUAGGUUAAUUUUGGCUUAGAAUAGAAUAGAAUAAACGUCAUUGAGGUUCUACAGGUAAGGUUUGGGCUGUAGAGGUUGACUUACAGACGUGAUUUAUACAGUAGAAAUACAGCUUAGAGAAUGGCUUGGUUAAUUUUGGCUUAGAAUAGAAUAGAAUAAACGUCAUUGAGGUUCUACAGGUAAGGUUUGGGCUGUAGAGGUUGACUUACAGACGUGAUUUAUACAGUAGAGAGACAGCUUAGAGGAUGGCUUGGUUAAUUUUGGUUCAGAAUUAAAUAGAAUAAACGUCAUUGAGGUUCUACAGGUAAGGUUUGGGCUGUAGAGGUUGACUUACAGACGUGAUUUAUACAGUAGAGAGACAGCUUAGAGAAUGGCUUGGUUAAUUUUGGUUCAGAAUUAAAUAGAAUAAACGUCACUGAGGUUCUACAGGUAAGGUUUGGGCUGUAGAGGUUGACUUACAGACGUGAUUUAUACAGUAGAAAUACAGCUUAGAGGAUGGCUAGGUUAAUUUUGGCUUAGAAUAGAAUAGAAUAAACGUCAUUGAGGUUCUACAGGUAAGGUUUGGGCUGUAGAGGUUGACUUACAGACGUGAUUUAUACAGUAGAGAGACAGCUUAGAGAAUGGCUAGGUUAAUUUUGGCUUAGAAUAGAAUAGAAUAAACGUCAUUGAGGUUCUACAGGUAAGGUUUGGGCUGUAGAGGUUGACUUACAGACGUGAUUUAUACAGUAGAAAUACAGCUUAGAGAAUGGCUUGGUUAAUUUUGGCUUAGAAUAGAAUAAACGUCAUUGAGGUUCUACAGGUAAGGUUUGGGCUGUAGAGGUUGACGUGAUUUAUACAGUAGAGAGACAGCUUAGAGAAUGGCUAGGUUAAUUUUGGCUUAGAAUAGAAUAAACGUCAUUGAGGUUCUACAGGUAAGGUUUGGGCUGUAGAGGUUGACUUACAGACGUGAUUUAUACAGUAGAAAUACAGCUUAGAGAAUGGCUUGGUUAAUUUUGGUUCAGAAUUAAAUAGAAUAAACGUCAUUGAGGUUCUACAGGUAAGGUUUGGGCUGUAGAGGUUGACUUACAGACGUGAUUUAUACAGUAGAGAGCCAGCUUAGAGAAUGGCUUGGUUAAUUUUGGCUUAGAAUAGAAUAGAAUAGACGUCAUUGAGGUUCUACAGGUAAGGUUUGCGCUGUAGAGGUUGACUUACAGACGUGAUUUAAACAGUAGAAAUACAGCUUAGAGGAUGGCUAGGUUAAUUUUGGUUCAGAAUUGAAAAGAAUAAAUGUCAUUGAGGUUAUUCAGGUAAGGUUUAGACUGGUUAAGUAAGACAUGUGAUUUAUACAGUAGAGACAGAUUAGAGGAUGACUAGGUUGAUUUUGGCUUAGAAAGAAGAUGUUAAGGACCAUUGCCGCUAUUUAUCAACGUCAUUGGGGUUAUUCAGAUCAUGUUUAGACUGGUUAACUAAAAGAUGUGAUUUAUAUAGUAGAGACAGUUUAGAGGUGGCUUUAGAAAGAAGACGUUUAGGAUAGCAUAAAAAUGAGUCAAUAUUUAGUGUUUUGAUAGGGAUGUAAAGGAAAAAAAGAGAGAGAAAGAAUGGAGAAGUACUGAAGAUGACGAGAGAAUAUUAAAAGAGAAUGAAAAGUAGUGGAUAAACAAAGGAAUAAGAAAGAAAUGCGUAGGCUAAAAGUUUCGAUAAAAGAGUUAGAGAAAGAGAAAGCUUAUUAAUGACGAGAAAUUAAUUAUAAACUUGGGAAAAGACGAGAAGAGAGGGAUAAUUAAUGAAAAAAAGUGAAUAAACAAAGAAAUAAGAAAAAAAGGCAUAGGCUAAAAGUUUCGAUACAAGAGUUAGAGAGAGAAAGUUUAUUAAUGACGAGAAAUUGAUUAUAAACACGAGAAAAGACGAGAAAAGAGGGAUAAUUAAUGAAAAAAAGAGUAGAUAAAAAAAUAAUUAAAUGAAGAGGCUAAGACAGUUACGAUAAAAGAGUUAAAGUUUAUUAAUGACGAGAAAUUAAUUAUAAACAUGAGAAAAGACGAGAAAGGAGGAAUAAUUAAUGAAAAAGAAGUAGAUAAAGAAAAAAAAUAAGAAAAAUGCAAGGCUAAGACAGUUACGAGUUAAUUAAAAAUAGCCUAGGAGAGUCAGGAAUAAGCUAUCUUUUCUGAAACGGAUAUAGAAAAAAGAAAAGUUGAUAUCCUGUAAACACCAAGACUCCAUCGGAUGUUACAAAAGAGAGGAUGACCAGAUAACAAAAGAAUAAGGAAAAGAGAGGAUGACCAGAUAACAACAGAAUAAGGAAAAGAGAGGAUGACCAGAUAACAAAAGAAUAAGGAAAAGAGAGGAUGACCAGAUAACAAAAGAAUAAGGAAAAGAGAGGAUGACCAGAUAACAAAAGAAUAAGGAAAAGAGAGGAUGACCAGAU